rnacentral:rRNA from 1 species
AUCAACGCGAUUCUGGGCGUUUUGCUGCUCAUCGUCUUGGCGACGGGCUCGUUGAUCAACGGGAUGUUCGGCCUGCUCAUCAUCGCCAACAGCGUCAUCGGCAUGGUCCAGGAGAUCCGUGCCAAGCAGACGCUGGACAAACUCGCGAUCAUCGGACAGGCGAAACCGUUGGUGCGCAGGCAAUCCGGAACGCGCACGCGGUCGACCAACGAGGUGGUGCUGGACGACAUCAUCGAACUUGGGCCCGGGGACCAGGUUGUCGUCGACGGCGAGGUCGUCGAGGAGGAAAACUUGGAGAUCGACGAAUCAUUGCUGACCGGCGAGGCCGACCCGAUUGCCAAAGACGCUGGCGAUACCGUGAUGUCGGGCAGUUUCGUCGUCUCCGGUGCCGGCGCCUACCGCGCCACCAAGGUCGGCAGCGAAGCAUAUGCAGCCAAACUGGCCGCCGAGGCCAGCAAGUUCACCCUGGUGAAAUCCGAAUUGCGCAACGGCAUCAACAGGAUUCUGCAGUUCAUCACUUACUUGUUGGUGCCGGCCGGCCUGCUGACCAUCUACACCCAGUUGUUCACCACACACGUGGGAUGGCGGGAAUCCGUGUUGCGGAUGGUGGGCGCGCUGGUGCCGAUGGUUCCCGAAGGCCUGGUGCUGAUGACCUCGAUCGCCUUCGCCGUCGGGGUGGUCAGGCUCGGCCAGCGUCAAUGCCUGGUGCAAGAGUUGCCCGCCAUCGAGGGGUUGGCGCGGGUGGACGUGGUCUGCGCCGACAAGACCGGCACACUGACCGAAAGUGGCAUGCGGGUCUGCGAGGUCGAAGAGCUCGACGGGGCUGGUCGACAGGAAAGUGUCGCCGAUGUGCUGGCCGCCCUGGCCGCCGCCGACGCCCGUCCCAACGCGAGCAUGCAGGCAAUCGCCGAGGCCUUUCACUCGCCGCCGGGCUGGGUCGUGGCCGCGAACGCGCCUUUCAAGUCGGCCACCAAGUGGAGCGGCGUCUCCUUUCGCGAUCACGGUAACUGGGUGAUCGGCGCGCCCGACGUGCUGCUCGAUCCGGCUUCGGUGGCGGCCAGACAGGCCGAGCGGAUCGGAGCGCAGGGAUUGCGGGUGCUGCUGCUGGCUGCUGGCAGUGUGGCCGUCGACCAUGCCCAAGCGCCGGGUCAGGUCACCCCGGUAGCGCUGGUUGUGCUGGAGCAGAAGGUGCGGCCCGACGCCCGUGAAACGCUGGAUUAUUUUGCUGUUCAGAAUGUUUCGGUCAAGGUGAUCUCCGGUGACAACGCGGUGUCGGUUGGUGCGGUCGCCGACCGGCUCGGGCUGCAUGGCGAGGCGAUGGAUGCGCGUGCGCUGCCGACGGGCCGCGAAGAACUGGCCGACACACUGGACUCUUACACCAGUUUUGGCCGUGUGCGGCCGGACCAGAAGCGUGCGAUCGUGCAUGCUCUGCAAUCACACGGGCAUACCGUGGCGAUGACCGGCGACGGCGUCAACGACGUGCUUGCCCUCAAGGACGCUGAUAUCGGUGUGGCGAUGGGCUCGGGCAGCCCGGCCUCGCGUGCGGUGGCACAGAUCGUGUUGCUGAACAACCGGUUUGCCACGCUGCCCCAUGUGGUCGGCGAGGGGCGUCGGGUCAUCGGCAAUAUCGAACGGGUCGCCAAUCUAUUCCUGACUAAGACGGUGUAUUCCGUGUUGCUGGCGCUGCUGGUGGGUAUUGAGUGCUUAAUUGCCAUACCGCUGCGGCGUGAUCCGCUGUUGUUCCCGUUCCAGCCGAUCCACGUCACCAUCGCGGCCUGGUUCACUAUCGGGAUCCCAGCGUUCAUCCUGUCCUUGGCGCCCAACAACGAGCGGGCCUAUCCGGGCUUCGUUCGGCGAGUUAUGACGUCUGCGGUGCCGUUCGGACUAGUCAUCGGUGUCGCGACUUUCGUCACCUAUCUGGCCGCUUACCAGGGUCGCUACGCCUCGUGGCAGGAGCAGGAACAGGCGUCGACCGCUGCGCUGAUCACGUUGUUGAUGACCGCGUUAUGGGUGCUGGCGGUGAUCGCACGCCCCUAUCAGUGGUGGCGACUGGCGCUGGUGCUUGCCUCCGGACUGGCCUAUGUGGUGAUCUUCAGCCUUCCGCUGGCGCGGGAGAAGUUCCUGCUGGAUGCCUCGAACCUGGCGACGACGUCAAUCGCGCUGGCGGUUGGCGUGGUGGGUGCGGCGACCAUUGAGGCGAUGUGGUGGAUCCGAAGCAGGAUGCUCGGUGUGAAACCGAGAGUGUGGCGAUAACCGCGAAUCGCCGCGCAUUAGCGCCCGCAGUUCGGGCAAUCCGAGGGCGUUGCGGCGUAGUGCAUCCAGGCGGCCAUUGAUGGCUUCGGUAGGGCUGGUCUUGCCGCGGCGCCGGUCGGGGUGGGCGUAGGCGGCGAUCAGGCGCUGGGAGAAGCCCCAGCACAUUUUGCCGUGUGUUGAGCGGUGGGUAGCGCGUGCGCGGGGUGUGUCGUACUCGGUAGAGCGGAUCUCCGCGCGGCCCCGGUGACCGCCCGUGAGCUGUUGGAUGGUUGGUGGUGCAUAUCGUCGGUCUGUCGAUCGAGACCACAGCACCGACCGACUCCGCGAUUACUCCCAUCAUGGUCCGGGAAAUCAACAUCGGUGAGAUCCCCCUAGGCCUCAGGCUGGGCAGCGACACCACACUGCUCGACGCCGCUCUCGCGGGUGGGUAACACCGGCAGCCAGCUUUCGGGCUUUUCCCGACCGGCUCUAAGGGCUGGUUGCAGUCAACCGCACCGCGACAAGUAGGGUUCACCAGAGGAUACUGGGGCCAAGCUCGUGGCAAGAAACGGUACGCAUGGGAAUCCUGGACAAGGUAAAGAACCUGCUGUCGCAGAACGCCGACAAGGUCGAGACGGUGAUCAACAAAGCGGGCGAAUUCGUCGACGAGCAGACGCAAGGCAAUUAUUCUGACGCCAUCCACAAGCUGCAUGACGCGGCCAGCAACGUCGUCGGCAUGAGCGACCAGCAGAGCUAGCACGCAUGGCGAAACUGUCCGGAUCCAUCGACGUACCGCUGCCACCGGAGGAAGCCUGGAUGCACGCCUCCGAUCUGACUCGUUACCGAGAGUGGCUGACCAUCCACAAGGUAUGGCGCAGCAAGUUGCCCGAAGUGCUCGAGAAGGGC